UAACUGGAAGAAACUAGGGGUCUCUCCCUUACACUGGUUACCUAUACAACUAUUCCACAUAUAUAUUUUGGAUUGAACACAUCUAGCCUUAUAUCUUAUUACUACAUGUUGCAAAGAAUAUCAAAACUAUAGAAACUUAAUUUAGAUCACCAGAUAACUCAUUUUAUCGCCAGUAUCCCUUAGCUACCACAGGAAUCCUUACUUUAUGCCCUCGGCUGCCUUUCAUGAAUAUUUCUCCAAAACUAUAUGUUCCAGUUACUGAUCGAACAGUGAGACUAACAGAGAACUUCCGUGAUGCACCGGGCUUUAGUGUCAUUGCUGAAGGGGUAGCUUCAAUGGCAAUAGAUGGUUGCAUUCUUGCUGUGAUCACAUAGGUUUCUUCCUCAGCAACAUUUGUAACCGUGCGAGUAACUGUUUGAGUUUUCACUAGAUGGGAUACAGUGAUUGAUGGGUUGUUGAAAUUUGAUGGAUGGCUCAUGGUGUAGUUGCAAGGAGAGUUUGUAUAGUUCUUAAUCGCAUGGGAAUCAAUUCCAGGUGUCGUGCAUAAGAACCCAAGGUAAUCCUCGUAACCUGCAUCAAAGAUUAGUCCAGGAUCCAGAGCAGCCCUUGGAUUAACAUGACCACUUCCGUAAUCAAAGGGGGUAGCUGUGACCAGCUUCAUGGCUUCUGUUUCAGAGUACUGUUGCGCUUGAAGAGGGCUUCCUGCUCUGUCCUGCAGUGUUGCUGUUGUCAUUAAGGCUGAUCUGAUGGCAGCAGGACUCCAAUGAGGAUGUUUCUGCUUCACAAGCGCAGCUAUCCCUGCUAUAUGGGGUGCAGCCAUACUCGUUCCAGAUAUCAUGGCAAAUCCUUCUCCAACAUAAUUUGGCUCGUCUGUUCCAUUUGGAGACCAAGCAGCCCAAAUAAGAGAACCGGGAGCCAAGAUAUCUGGCUUAAGAAGAUCAGCAUCUUGGAAGCUGAAAUCUUUUAUGUUGGGCCCUCGAGCAGAGAAUAAUGCCACCUGUGGUGCUGAUUUAUGGAGUAUAGGCAUCAAACCGUCACCAAUGCUUCCAGUAGCAUUGAAGCUCUUCACUCGUGCAGUCCAAUCUCUUGGUGUCGAAAUGUUGUAAUAAUCUAUAAGAUCCAUUGAUUUAGAGACUUCGGUGAUGAGAAUCCCAGGAAUACCAACAGGGACAGGAUCAAACUUUGUUCCUGGAGAAGCAUUUUCCACAACAAGAACAAAUCCAAUUGCACCAAGACUCUUGGCUGUUUCUGAAACCUUUUUGAUAGAUGCAGUACCAACUACAAAAUUGAAGGAAUAGCCACAAAGAAGUAUAUUCCCCUUAACCAAGUUUUUG
rnacentral:misc_RNA from 1 species